GUGUUGGUAUUGGGGGAGGGGAUCAAAGUUUUGAGACGACUGACUUUCAACUAGUUCUUUACCAUCGAGACGCUGGCCGAGAAGGUUACUUUAGUUAUUUCUGGGUACUGUCUUUCCCGACAUUGUUCUUCAUAAAAAAGGUUGGUGGAGAUGUUUCUCAAUGUGCAGUGCAGAUGAGUGCCCCAAGUCAGCAAGAUGCCUGUUGCCCCCAAGUGUUGCGAGAUGAAAAUGGGAAGAAAAUGGAAAUCUGAAAUGAUUCCUUGGUAGAUUUGGUGUUGAAGCUGUUAAUGGUGGUGAUUUCUGGUGUGCAGUGGUGUGGAAGUCAUUUUCGAGAAAUGCACUGAUAUGAAGUUUCUGCAGACUUGCUGUUCAACAUCAGACUUCGUAAAACAAUGUUGGUGUUGAUGCAGUGUUGAGCUGUCGUGAAAAAUAGUUCGUGUUGCCAGAUGACUUUCUGGCAUUUUGUUGGUGUGUUCUUCUGCUUCCUGUACACAUGUUGAGUUCAAUCGGACGCCGCCGUUUCAAACUUGAUCCACUGGUGAAGCUAAGGAGAAGUUGCUGUUAUUCAAGACUGAGAUUAUUCAGAUUUAUUGACAAAUUAAAAAUGCAAAUCUAUUGUCCCUUUUCCCUAAGUAAACAAAAUGACCUUACUUGUGUGAAAACAAGGAAUGUUGUCAUGGAAUGGGGAAUUGUAAAGAGAUUAUAUAUUAUCUAUGAAAUAAGUUAAACCACAAACUGAAAUGUUCCUCUGCUUUUAAUCAAUAACAUGAACUCAUUAAAAAAAUAAACCAUUGUAAUCAAAAA